rnacentral:rRNA from 1 species
UGCCGCCCUGAAGGGCGUAUGGUGGAUGCCUUGGCAGACAGUACCGAUGAAGGACGUUUGAGGAUGCGAUAAGCCUCGGGGAGCCUCCAACAUGGCUUCGAUCCGAGGAUUUCCGAAUGGGGCAACCCGCCGGCCGUCAUGGGCCGGCACGGAACCUUGUUGUUCCGGGGGUACGCAGGGAAGUGAAACAUCUCAGUACCUGCAGGAAGGGAUACUCCGUGAGUAGUGGCGAGCGAAAGCGGAUCAGACCAAACCAUGGGCGCGUGAUACCCGUCGGGGGUUGCGUUCGUGGUGUUGAGGGAGCGUGUGUCCCGGUUCCGACGGACCGGGCGGGAGUCAUAAAACGGCUUGCCAGGGGAACAGGCUUGAAGGCCUGGCCGCAGAGGGUGCCAGCCCCGUACCUGGAAGCUUGCCGUCUUCCGAUCAUGUGUCCCAAGUAGCGCGGGCCUCGUGGAAUCCCGUGUGAAUCGGCCCCGACCGUGGGGUAAGUCUAAGCAUACCUGUCUGACCGAUAGCGUACCAGUACCGUGAGGGAAAGGUGAAAAGCACCCCGGGAGGGGAGUGAAAGAGUUCCUGAAACCGUGCGCCUACAAUCCGUCGGAGCCUCCCUUGUGGGGUGACGGCGUGCCUAUCGAAAAAUGAGUCUGCGAGUCAGUGGUGCGUGGCGAGGCUAACCCGUGGUGGGGGAGCCGUAGCGAAGGCGAGUCUCAAAAGGCGUUUUGAGUCGCGCGCCCUGGACCCGAAGCGGGAUGAUCUAGCCCUGGGCAGGUUGAAGCGCGGGUAAGACCGCGUGGAGGACCGAACCCACCUGGGUUGAAAACCGGGGGGAUGACCUGGGGCUAGGGGUGAAAGGCCAAUCAAAUUCCGUGAUAGCUGGUUCUCUCCGAAAUGCAUUUAGGUGCAGCGUCGGUUGAUUGCAUCGCGGGGGUAGAGCUACUGGAUGCUUGCGGGCCCGUGUCGGGUACCAAUAGCAGCCAAACUCCGAAUACCGUGGAUGUGUAUUCCGGCAGUGAGUCGGCGGGGGAUAAGCUCCGUCGUCGAGAGGGAGACAGCCCAGAUCGUCGUCUAAGGUCCCGAAGCGUGUGCUAAGUGGGAAAGGAUGUGGAGUCGCAUAGACAGCCAGGAGGUUGGCUCAGAAGCAGCCAUCCUUGAAAGAGUGCGUAACAGCUCACUGGUCUAGUGGUUCCGCGCCGACAAUGUAGCGGGGCUCAAGCACACCACCGAAGACGCGGCAACGGUCGUAUGGCCGUUGGGUAGGAGAGCGUCCCGCGUGGGGCGAAGCGGCCGGGGAACCGUGCCGUGGACCGCGCGGGAGUGAGAAUGCAGACAUGAGUAGCGAGAGACGGGUGAGGAUCCCGUCCGCUGGAUGACCAAGGGUUCCGGGGCCACGUUCGUCGUCCCCGGGUGAGUCGGGUCCUAAGGCGAGGCCGACAGGCGUAGUCGAAUGGAUGAACGGGUGGAUAUUCCCGUACCGGCGGCGUACCGUAAGAGCCGAACGGAUGAGUACUAACCUCCGGUCGCGUGGCGUCGUUCCCUUCGGGGUUCGGGGUCCGCGGUCGUUGGGAGCGUAGUCCUGGUAGGCUAGCGCACAGGGGUGACACGGAAUGGGAGCCGGCCGCGGAGGUGGUUUUCCGUGGUCAAGCACGCAGCCCGUCCCAUAGGCAAAUCCGUGGGACGCAUAGGGUGAGGUGUGAUGAUGGGCGUCCUUUGGACGCGAUAUCCGGUGGUCCAGGCCGUCGAGAAAAGCCUCGGCGCGAGGGGCGUCGCCGCCCGUACCCCAAACCGACACUGGUGGUCAGGUAGAGAAUACCAAGGCGAUCGAGCGAAUCCUGGUCAAGGAACUCGGCAAAUCACUCCCGUGCCUUCGGUAUAAGGGAGACCCCCGGGCGUGAAGAGGCUUGCCCUCGGAGCGUUGGGGGGUGGCACAGACCAGGGGGUAGCGACUGUUUACCAAAAACACAGGUGCAUGCGAAGGCGCAAGCCGCUGUAUAUGCACUGACGCCUGCCCGGUGCCGGAAGGUUAAGAGGAUCCGUCAGCCCCUUUUGGGGUGAAGCGGUGAAUUCAAGCCCCGGUAAACGGCGGUGGUAACUAUAACCAUCCUAAGGUAGCGAAAUUCCUUGUCGGGUAAGUUCCGACCUGCACGAAUGGCGUAACGACUUCCCCACUGUCUCGACCAGGAGCUCGGCGAAAUUGCAGUACGAGUAAAGAUGCUCGUUAAGCGCAGAAGGACGAAAAGACCCCGGGACCUUUACUAUACCUUGGUAUUGGCGUUAGGCGCGGAUUGUGUAGCAUAGGCGGGAGGCUUCGAAGC